rnacentral:rRNA from 1 species
AGGACAAACGCUGGCGGCGUGCCUAAGACAUGCAAGUCGAACGGAAGGCUUCGGCCUUGAGUGGCGGACGGGUGAGGAGCGCGUGGAGAACCUGCCCCGGGGUGGGGGAUAACAGUCGGAAACGAUUGCUAAGACCGCAUACGACCAUUCGUUGCAGGAUGAAUGGGGAAAGCAGCGAUGUGCCCUGGGAGGGCUCCGCGUCGGAUUAGCUAGUUGGUGGGGUAACGGCCUACCAAGGCUGCGAUCCGUAGCUGGUCUGAGAGGACGGCCAGCCACACUGGGACUGAGACACGGCCCAGACUCCUACGGGAGGCAGCAGUUAGGGAAUUUUGUCAAUGGGCGAAAGCCUGAACGAGUGACGCCGCGUGCGGGAUGACGCCGUUUCGGGGUGUAAACCGCUUUUCCCAAGGACGAGGAUGGACGGUACUUGGGGAAUAAGUCUCGGCUAACUACGCGCCAGCAGCCGC